AACGAACGCUGGCGGCAGGCCUAACACAUGCAAGUCGAACGGAACCUUCGGGUUUAGUGGCGCACGGGUGAGGAACACGUGGGAAUGUACCCCUUGGUAAGGAAUAAUGUCUGGAAACGGACACUAAUACCUUAUAAUGACUUCGGUCCAAAGAUUUAUCGCCAAGGGAUCAGCCCGCGCAUGAUUAGAUAGUUGGUGAGGUAAUGGCUCACCAAGUCUGCGAUCAUUAGCUGGUCUGAGAGGAUGAUCAGCCACACUGGAACUGAGACACGGUCCAG
rnacentral:rRNA from 1 species